ACGCGAAAGGUUCCUUCGGGGGACCGAGUAGAGUGGCGUCCGGGUGAGUAACACGUGGGUAAUUUGCCUUCGGGUGGGGAAUAACACCUCGAAAGAGGUGCUAAUACCGCAUAAUGCAGCGGCACCUUAUGGUGACAGUUGUUAAAGCGGGGGAUCGCAAGACCUCGCGCCUGAAGAGAAGCCCGCGGCGGAUUAGCUAGUUGGUGGGGUAAUGGCCCACCAAGGCAACGAUCCGUAGCCGGCCUGAGAGGGCGGUCGGCCACACUGACACUGACACACGGGUCAGACUCCUACGGGAGGCAGCAGUCGGGAAUUUUGGGCAAUGGGCGAAAGCCUGACCCAGCAACGCCGCGUGAAGGAUGAAGUUUCUCGGAAUGUAAACUUCACAAGAAUGGGAAGAAUAAGUGAGGGAUAAUACCCCUUACGAUGACGGUACCAUUUGUAAGCUCCGGCUAACUCCGUGCCAGCAGCCGCGGUAAUACGGGGGGAGCAAGCGUUGUUCGGAUUUACUGGGCGUAAAGGGCGCGUAGGCGGCGUGACAAGUCACUUGUGAAAUCUCCGGGCUUAACUCGGAGCGGCCAAGUGAUACUGUCGUGCUAGAGUGCGGAAGGGGCAACUGGAAUUCUCGGUGUAGCGGUGAAAUGCGUAGAUAUCGAGAGGAACACCUGCGGCGAAGGCGGGUUGCUGGGCCGACACUGACGCUGAGGCGCGAAAGCCAGGGGAGCGAACGGGAUUAGAUACCCCGGUAGUCC
rnacentral:rRNA from 1 species